rnacentral:rRNA from 1 species
UGCAUAUCAAAAAAGCGGAGGAAAAGAAACCAACAGGGAUUACCUCAGUAACGGCGAGUGAAGCGGUAACAGCUCAAAUUUGAAAUCUGGCUCUUUCAGGGUCCGAGUUGUAAUUUGUAGAAGAUGCUUCGGGUGUGGCUCCGGUCUAAGUUCCUUGGAACAGGACGUCAUAGAGGGUGAGAAUCCCGUAUGUGACUGGUUGCCUUCGCCCAUGUGAAGCUCUUUCGACGAGUCGAGUUGUUUGGGAAUGCAGCUCUAAAUGGGAGGUAAAUUUCUUCUAAAGCUAAAUAUUGGCCAGAGACCGAUAGCGCACAAGUAGAGUGAUCGAAAGAUGAAAAGCACUUUGGAAAGAGAGUUAAACAGUACGUGAAAUUGUUGAAAGGGAAGCGCUUGCAACCAGACUUGCCUGCCGUCGAUCAUCCUCCGUUCUCGGUGGUGCACUCGGCGGUGGUCAGGCCAGCAUCGGUUUUGGUGGUGGGAUAAAGACCUUAGGAAUGUGGCUCCUCUCGGGGAGUGUUAUAGCCUUCGGUGCAAUGCCGCCUACUGGGACCGAGGACCGCGCUCGGCUAGAUGCUGCGAAAAUCCG